CCAAAACUACAGCAGAGAACAAUAAUCCAAAACUAACAAAACGCUAUUGCCAAAUAAAAGUGCUAGAAGACUAAUAUUUUUACAGUGACCCUUAUGUAAACUGAAUACAAAUGGAAAAUUACAGGAGGCUAUAACUCUGUAACUUGUAGGCUAUGCUUAAUGGAAAAUUACAGAAUAAAGACUAAUAUUUGUUUAAGGGAAAGUUGGGGUAACAUUCCACAAUAACGUUAUCACCUAAGAACAGAAAAUCAUUGUGGUGCCAAGAAGGACAGAUGGCUGGUAUUUUAAGAAAUGUGUUAAAGGGAGUUGUGGGGUACAUUUGUGUAUAAAAUGAAUGUAAAACUGACAAUCGAGGUUCAAUUCGGCGGAAUUGAUCCGGCUUUAUGCACCUGUGCAAAUAAAGUCUAACUUUCCUGAAGAGCUUGCUGCUGUGGUGUCUUUCCCCUCGUGAAGUAGUUUUCUACAAAUUAAUGACUGGACUUUGAAUUCUGUCGGUUCCUAGACACGACAUUUUGGGGACUCGUCCGGGAUACGAGAAAGGGAUCGCUGAAGCUCCCGGCUCCUGGAGACAGAGGCAGAGGGUACUAGCCCUGACCAGCUUAUCAAAAGGUGAGAGUAUUUAACUAUUUGUUUUGGACUGGGGCACUGUCCCCUCUGACCUCCUGUCCCUGAACGCCAGGAGUGAAAUCCUCUCGUAAAACUAACCCGGACACUAACACCGAAAAUUGAGGGGAGGGAAGCAGCGAGCUCUUCAGAAACGUACGCAACGAACCAGGUGCCAGAGACUUGGGAGGAGAGAAACCCAAGAAGUGCCACCUGCAAGAGCUCUGGUAAAAGCGUUUUUGGGAAAAACACUGUCCUCUGAGGUGUAAAGUAAGAGAAAAAAUUGUUGGUAAGGUAAAAUACUGUUAAGCUGUGCUUAUGCUUAGAUGAUUGUGCUUGCGCGGAAAUAACGUUGUAUUGAGGCAACUGAGGUAAAAAUUGUGAUUUAUGUGUAUGUACAACUAUAAAGGAGAAGGGUGAAAAUUAAAUGAUAAACUAAAAUAAGUAAAGAAACGUGAAGUGUGUAGAAGGUAUAAACGGUGGAAAAUACAAUAAAAGUAUUAGCCCUGGCUGAAAAUAAAGGUUAAAUAUAUAAUAUCUAUAAAUAAUUAAUAAAAUAAAAGUAUUAGCCUCGGAUGAAAAUAAAAGUUAUAUAAGUAUAUAAUAAAAUAUAAAUAAUAAAUACAAUAAAAGUAUUAAAAUAAACAUUUUUAAAAAAUGGAAAAAGGAGAGAAAACGCCGGUUGAAAUAAUCACGGGAAAAUAUCCUAAAUGUAAACAGGAGAUAGAAAAUAUAUCAGAAAAAUGGACAAAAAGAACUAAAAGAAUGGCGACAAAAUGGCCUAAAGGGGGUACGUUUGAUAGGG